CCUACGGGAGGCAGCAGUGGGGAAUAUUGGACAAUGGGCGAAAGCCUGAUCCAGCCAUGCCGCGUGAGUGAUGAAGGCCUUAGGGUUGUAAAGCUCUUUUAUCCGGGAAGAUAAUGACUGUACCGGAAGAAUAAGCCCCGGCUAACUUCGUGCCAGCAGCCGCGGUAAUACGAAGGGGGCUAGCGUUGCUCGGAAUCACUGGGCGUAAAGGGCGCGUAGGCGGAUGAUUAAGUCGGAGGUGAAAGCCCAGGGCUCAACCCUGGAAUUGCCUUCGAUACUGAUCGUCUCGAGAAUGGAAGAGGUAAGUGGAAUACCGAGUGUAGAGGUGAAAUUCGUAGAUAUUCGGUGGAACACCAGUGGCGAAGGCGACUUACUGGUCCAUUUCUGACGCUGAGGCGCGAAAGCGUGGGGAUCAAACAGGAUUAGAUACCCUGGUAGUCCACGCCGUAAACGAUGAAUGCCAGCCGUUGGGGAGCUUGCUCUUCAGUGGCGCAGCUACGUACUUAGUACAUCCGUCCGUGGGUAGGUACGGUCGCGAGAAGUAAACUACGAAAGAAGUAAGUACGGCGUUGAGACGUUGCGACGGACGACGACGAGGGAGGAGG
rnacentral:rRNA from 1 species